AGUGAGAACACUGUAGUUUAUAAUGUAACACUGGAACUGCACAGUAAUUUCUCUGGCAGCCAUGUGAGCUGGUGUGUUUCUGAGAGUCAUCUGGCUGCUGAAGGAUUACAAGCUGUUCAAAGCCUCUGAAGGGGCGGCAUCAUGUCAGCACAACGCUCCAUGGCGACUGGGAGUGAGCCAGCGCCACUUCUCCACCUGCUCUACCUCCCUCCCUCCCUCCAACCUCUGUGUGCACUCUGCCCACCUGCUUCCAUGGGUUCAUCCUAGAGAUCAUUCCUUGAGGCAGUGAAGACAUUAUCUCAGUGGAGUAAAAGCAAGAGGUAAAGCGACAGAAGUGCCUCGCUGGAAACACCACAGAAGUCCUUUAGUUGUUUUAUUUUGAGGCACUUUAAAAUUUUAGGGUUUGAUUAUGAUGAACAGAAGGGGGAUGCAGGUGAGGAGCCAUGGCUACUCGCUAAAGAACACCCCUAUGCUUGUUGUCGGGGUAGCUGUUUUGGUCAUAAUAUUGUGUGUUUAUCUAGAGCUGAUGCUGACAUUUCCUUGGUAACUGAUAUCAGCCAGCUGGGCUGUUUUAUCAGUGGCUGGUGCAACAUUUGGACUAGUGAAGUGAAUAAAUGU